rnacentral:rRNA from 1 species
AUACGUAGGUGGCAAGCGUUGUCCGGAAUUACUGGGUGUAAAGGGCGUGUAGGCGGGGAUGCAAGUCAGAUGUGAAAUUCCGGGGCUCAACCCCGGCACUGCAUCUGAAACUGUGUCUCUUGAGUGCAGGAGAGGAAAGCGGAAUUCCUAGUGUAGCGGUGAAAGGCGUAGAUAUUAGGAGGAACCCCAGUGGCGAAGGCGGCUUUCUGGACAGUAACUGACGCUGAGGCGCGAAAGCGUGGGUAGCGAACAGGAUUAGAUACCCUGGUAGUCCACGCCGUAAACGAUGGAUACUAGGUGUAGGAGGUAUCGACCCCUUCUGUGCCGGAGUUAACACAAUAAGUAUCCCACCUGGGGAGUACGGCCGCAAGGUUGAAACUCAAAGGAAUUGACGGG